rnacentral:rRNA from 1 species
GAUGAACGCUGGCGGCGUGCCUAACACAUGCAAGUCGAGCGAAGCACUUACUUUAGAUUUCUUCGGAAUGACGAAGUUUGUGACUGAGCGGCGGACGGGUGAGUAACGCGUGGGCAACCUGCCCUGUACAGGGGGAUAACAGUUAGAAAUGACUGCUAAUACCGCAUAAGCCCACAGCUUCGCAUGUAGCAGUGGGAAAAACUCCGGUGGUACAGGAUGGGCCCGCGUCUGAUUAGCUAGUUGGUAAGGUAACGGCUUACCAAGGCGACGAUCAGUAGCCGACCUGAGAGGGUGACCGGCCACAUUGGGACUGAGACACGGCCCAAACUCCUACGGGAGGCAGCAGUGGGGAAUAUUGCACAAUGGGGGAAACCCUGAUGCAGCGACGCCGCGUGAGCGAUGAAGUAUUUCGGUAUGUAAAGCUCUAUCAGCAGGGAAGAAAGUGACGGUACCUGACGAAGAAGCCCCGGCUAACUACGUG